GUGGGGAAUUUUGGACAAUGGGCGCAAGCCUGAUCCAGCAAUGCCGCGUGCAGGAAGAAGGCCUUCGGGUUGUAAACUGCUUUUGUACGGAACGAAACGGUCCGGGUUAAUACCCUGGGCUAAUGACGGUACCGUAAGAAUAAGCACCGGCUAACUACGUGCCAGCAGCCGCGGUAAUACGUAGGGUGCAAGCGUUAAUCGGAAUUACUGGGCGUAAAGCGUGCGCAGGCGGUUUUGUAAGACAGGCGUGAAAUCCCCGGGCUCAACCUGGGAAUUGCGCUUGUGACGGCAAGGCUGGAGUGCGGCAGAGGGGGAUGGAAUUCCGCGUGUAGCAGUGAAAUGCGUAGAUAUGCGGAGGAACACCGAUGGCGAAGGCAAUCCCCUGGGCCUGCACUGACGCUCAUGCACGAAAGCGUGGGGAGCAAACAGGAUUAGAUACCCCUGUAGUCC
rnacentral:rRNA from 1 species